AGUGAACGCUGGCGGUAGGCCUAACACAUGCAAGUCGAACGGCAGCACAGGAGAGCUUGCUAUCUGGGUGGCGAGUGGCGGACGGGUGAGGAAUACAUCGGAAUCUACUUUUUCGUGGGGGAUAACGUAGGGAAACUUACGCUAAUACCGCAUACGACCUACGGGUGAAAGCAGGGGACCUUCGGGCCUUGCGCGAUUGAAUGAGCCGAUGUCGGAUUAGCUAGUUGGCGGGGUAAAGGCCCACCAAGGCGACGAUCCGUAGCUGGUCUGAGAGGAUGAUCAGCCACACUGGAACUGAGACACGGUCCAGACUCCUACGGGAGGCAGCAGUGGGGAAUAUUGGACAAUGGGCGCAAGCCUGAUCCAGCCAUACCGCGUGGGUGAAGAAGGCCUUCGGGUUGUAAAGCCCUUUUGUUGGGAAAGAAAUCCAGCUGGCUAAUACCCGGUUGGGAUGACGGUGCCCAAAGAAUAAGCACCGGCUAACUUCGUGCCAGCCGCCGCAGUAA
rnacentral:rRNA from 1 species